rnacentral:rRNA from 1 species
ACUCCUACGGGAGGCAGCAGUGGGGAAUCUUGCGCAAUGGUCUAACGACUGACGCAGCGACGCCGCGUGUGGGAGGACGCCUUACGGGGUGUAAACCACUGUUGCCCGGGACGAACAGGGUCAUUCAUGGCCCCUGACGGUACCGGGUGAGGAAGCACCGGCUAACUCCGUGCCAGCAGCCGCGGUAAU